GGUUAAAAAGCUCGUAGUUGGAUUUCUGUUGAGGAUGACCGGUCCGCUCUUUGAGCGCGUAUCUGGUUCAGCCUUGGCAUCCUCUUGGGGAACGCUACUGUGCUUGAUUGCAUGGGGCGGUAUUCAAGACUUUUACUUUGAGGAAAUUAGAGUGUUCACUGCAAGCGUUAGCAAUUGAAUACAUUAGCAUGGAAUAAUAAUAUAGGACCUUGGUACUAUUUUGUUGGUUUCUAGAACUGAGGUAAUGAUUAAUAGGGACAAUUGGGGGCAUUCGUAUUAACGCGUCAGAGGUGGAAUUCUUAGAUUGCGUUACGACGAACUACUGCGAAAGCAUUUGCCAAGGAUGUUUUCAUUGAUCAAGAACGAAAGUAUGGGGAUCGAAGACGCUUAGAUACCGUCGUAGUCUAUACCAUAAACUAUGCCAACUAGAGAUUGGAGGUCGUUCUCUUUAUGACUCCUUCAGCACCUUAUGAGAAAUCAAAGUCUUUGGGUUCCGGGGGGAGUAUGGUCGCAAGGCUGAAACUUAAAAGGAAUUGACGGAAGGGCACCACCAGGAGUGGAGCCUGCGGCUUAAUUUGACUCAACACGGGAAAACUUACCAGGUCCAGACAUAGUAAGGAUUGACAGAUUGAUAGCUCU
rnacentral:rRNA from 1 species